AUUGAACGCUGGCGGCAGGCCUAACACAUGCAAGUCGAGCGGAUGAAGGGAGCUUGCUCCUGGAUUCAGCGGCGGACGGGUGAGUAAUGCCUAGGAAUCUGCCUAGUAGUGGGGGAUAACGUCCGGAAACGGGCGCUAAUACCGCAUACGUCCUGAGGGAGAAAGUGGGGGAUCUUCGGACCUCACGCUAUCAGAUGAGCCUAUGUCGGAUUAGCUAGUUGGUGGGGUAAAGGCCUACCAAGGCGACGUUCCGUAACUGGUCUGAGGGGAUGAUCAGUCACACUGGAACUGAGACACGGUGCAGACUCCUACGGGGGGCAGCAGUGGGGAAUAUUGGACAAUGGGCGAAAGCCUGAUCCAGCCAUGCCGCGUGGGUGAAGAUGGUCUUCGGAUUGUAGAGCACUUUAAGUGGGGAGGAAGGGCAGUAAGUUAAUACCUUGCUGUUUUGACGUUACCAACAGAAUAAGCACCGGCUAACUUCGUG
rnacentral:rRNA from 1 species